rnacentral:lncRNA from 1 species
CGAGGAGCAGCAGAGCCCUCUGAGGGCCCCUGUGAAUGCCUCGCGCAGAUCCGGGGCCCAGAGAACAUUCCAGAGAUGCUUGUGGAGUGGAGCAGCUUUAAUAAGACACAUUCUUGCUUCUCUGUUGGCUUCUUACCUGUGUCCUCGGGAUGGCUGCCAAGGUGCUACCAACCUGCUGCAUCCCUGGCUGAGGCUCAGAGCCUCCUGGGCUGGUGCCUUCCUGGGCACAGGAUCCCCAGCAAGUCCAGGAAUCUGACCUGAGGUCACCAAUCAUGCCCAGGGAAACCAGCCAGCCCCCAAAGCCUCCAAAACCCAAGUGGGCUUGGUUCUGUUGGCAGGUGACCCAGCUGGAAUCAAACAAGAAAGAAAAGUGUGUUUAGAUCAUCAGGUGACUCACCAAAUAGAACUUUCUUGAAAACUGUUUAAUAAUCAAGACCAGGAAAAGAUUAUGGAAUAUUCUAGCAAAGUCCAAGUACUUGGAUUUUAAAAUCAACAUUUAUCUUACUGCUCUUAUAUUACAAAGUUCCGCCCUCACCUCCAGUCUCAACGUUUGCACAAAGCAUUUCAGCAGCACAUGCAAUGGCGUUAUGGUUGGCUUUUCCCUCUCGCUCCUCCGCACAGCACUGAAGAAGGACAGGAGCAGUUUUCUUUGUUUCUUGCAUGAAUUUACUACUGAGGCUCGUCAGAGAGAGGCUGCCUGUGGGAGUGAUGCAUGGCCUCUGCUUCCACGGAGAAAAGCCACACGGUGGUGGCCAGGGGUGGGAUGCGCCCGUGGACAUGGAGGACAGAUGUGUUCUGAGAAGCUGCCUGUUUCUUUUGUUUGUUUUUGAGAUGGACUUUCACUUUUGUUGCCCAGGCUGGAGUGCAAUGGCGCGAUCUCAGCUCACGCCAACCUCCACCUCCCGGGUUCAAGUGAUUCUCCUGCCUCAGUCUCCCAAGUAGCUGAGAUUACAGGUGCCUGUCACCAUGCCCAGCUGAUUUUUGUAUUUUUAGUAGAGAUGGGGUUUCACCAUGUUGGCCAGGAUGGUCUCAAUCUCUUGACCUCGUGAUCCACCCGCCUUGGCCUCCCAAAGUGCUGGGAUGACAGGCAUGAGCCACCGUGCCCAGCCGAGGUGGCUUCUUUACAACAGACUAUCCAGGGGACCACAGUCACCCUCCCCUCACUCCCAGCCCACCCUUCCUGCUCAUUUGCUUUGUCCACCUACUCAGCUCCGUGGCCCAUUGGUGGCCUCCAUCCUUCUGAAGGACCAAGAAGCCACUGCCAUGUGGAAGCACCUCCACGUGCCCUGGUCAGGUCUGUCACCAGUGCUGUGUGAGGAUCAGAACACCCUCGACCACACUGGCUCAUCAUCCAAAUUGUAAUCAUGGACUUAGAGGCUGUCCUUUUAAAAAUAACUUUUGGUAUUGUUUGCUUAUUUCAAAGUAAACAAAUUCAUUAUCAAACAUUUAGAAAACAGGCAAGCAAAUAAGAGGAAAGAACAUCACCAGUCACACAUUCUCCAGAGAGUGCAAAAAGCAAGGUCUCUGUAUCUUACUCUCAAGUAGGAAGAAUGGUUGCAGGAGAGGAAGGAAGGAGAGAGGGCCUGGGCGCUGUACCCGGCUGUGGCCAGCUCUGUCCUGAACCCUCCUGGGGUCUGUCCUGAACCCUCCUGGGCUCUGUCCUGAACCCUUCUGGGGUCUGUCCUGAACCCUCCUGGGGUCUGUCCUGAACCCUCCUGGGCUCUGUCCUGAACACUCCUGGGCUCUGUCCUGAACACUCCUGGGGUCUGUCCUGAACCCUCCUGGGGUGGGAUUUCCAUAAGGUGGGCAUUAUUAUCUUCCCUGGGCUGGGCCAGAGCCUGGUUGGGGCCUGGGGCCCCAUCCUGAGUCCAGAGUCUGUGACUCCUCCAUAGGCCCCAGGGCCUGUGCAGUGACAGUCCCUGAGCAGCAAAAGAGCAAAUGAGUGCUGGGAAUUGUGGGUCCCUUCCCUAAAAAGGCAGAGGUGGUGAUCCCGCCCAGCCCAGGGUCUUCAAAACUGCAGGUACAUCCUUGCUGUUCUGUCAAACACAUCUGCAGAUAACUUGAGUCCAUCUAGGGUGGGUUUCCAGGCAGCUGGGGACCAAGUGAGGGGGUGGAGGCGGCCACGUGAGACCCCAGGAAGCAGAGCCCCCACCACCCCAGGAGAUUUCUUCAUCCACAGUGGCAAGGGUGGGGGCUGCCCUAAGAUGUCAGCAAAGACCACCAUUGGGGAAGGUCUUGGACAUGACUCUGAGUGGUCCCAUGGGGAAAGGGGACUGGUGUCUCCUGGAGGGAGAUGCUGGAAGAAGGCCAGAGAGGAAGGAUGGCCAGAAGUCCCCAUUUCCAUAGCCCAAACCUGUGGAAACACUGCCCCUGGGCAGCUCUGUGCCCCUGGCGACCUCCUGGUAUGAUGCAGCUUAGAAAGAAGCUGCCUGUCUCUCCAUUGCCAGCCUUUUCUGGAAGUCUGGGUGCCUUCAGGUUUGGGGAUACUGAAACAUCCUCCCAAUAUCCCAGGGCUCCUGGCCUUUGAACACCCGCGAGGGGCG